UAUAACUCUACUAUGACUUGAUAUCUCAGGUCUGUGCUCUUAAACUACCUGCAGGUCUCCUUCCCAGCACUGCAGUAAAUGCCUGUGCAGCUUCUCCUUCUGAGAGAGAGCUGGCCAUGGUAAAUUUACAACUGGAAUUCAUCCUCAUCAAAGUUUUGUUACACUAUAGAAGAAACAGCCAGGACAGUCUAAGAUAUGACUGACUCUUGUCUGCCUCUACUGUAAUUUAUUGAUCUUCCAGCAGAACUGGAGAAAGAAAUUCAUAGCUGAUAUACCACCAGUUUCUUAAGAGAAAACCUGCUAGCAACAGCAUGUGUCACACUAGCCUGGCCUGGCUGACUUGGAGAUGAAACAGGCCAGCUGGGAUGGAUGGGCUUCCUGGCAAACUCCAGAAGAAGCAAGAUGCCAGGCUGGUUCUAAAGUGGCAUUUCUGCCCCAAGCAUCCCACAGGAAAUUGAGCAUAGAGAGCUCUCGUUGGUGCCUUUGUUCCACAAGCAAGGCCAGUUUAGAAAGGUUUUUCCAUUCUCCAAAAGGAAAAUAAAGAAAUAUUUUGUUCUCCCAGGGAGUAUGUGAGGAUGGUCACAUGUGUUAGAGCAUCUCUGUAACUGGAUGAUGACCAUUUCACUACUGGAGAGUACAAAAAGAGUGGCAGUACCCCUGUGCAAAUUAAAAUGAGACCUUAUGUUGAGAGACUAAAAAGCCAAUCUCAGUAUAGGAAAAAAAGUGCUUUCCACAAUGGCAUGGGAGAAUGAAGCUGAUUGAAAGAAAAAGCAAACAAGAAGAUAGAGGGCAAGGCAAGACACUCAGGGUGCAAAGUCAAGAGCAUAAAACUGAAACAGAAGAAAACAAAAUCAAGAAUAACUAUUGUGAGAACCAAGAUAUUUUCAGAGCUCUGACUAUACAAGAUGAAAGUUGCGAACUGCAUAUCAAGAGUUCGGUUGGGAUUGGGAAGCAAUGAUGAACAUUCAUUUCAAGACAUUUCUUUUGGAUUCAGGCAGUACUGACUGUGUGAAAAAGGGAUAAAGAUACCUCAUUGAAUUUCCUACAUAUUGCAACAUCAUUGCAUCUGACCUGGUUUUCUUCAUUAAAGAAUGUUUUGAUGUUUGUGAUUUGGUUUACAAUGUUUUGAGAAGGAAAUGUUAUCAAUUAUUUUCAGGAACAUAACAUUUUGGGAUUUUACAUUUAUGAUGCAUUUUUAGUAACAUAUUUAUUUUGAAAGCAGCAGCAGCAACAGCAGUAUGUUUCUUUCUCAUUUUACUGCAUUUUCUACUAUUACCGAUAGUAGAAAAUCCAGAACUGUUGAACUUCUGCACUGACAUCUGCACAAACUGCUCAGCAGUGCAGGAGUGAAACAUGCUGCUAUAUCCAUUCUUCUCAUUUUAGAAGUCAUGGUAUUUCUGUUGCUUUUAUGGCACACUCUCAUGAUCAGCUGAUCUCAUGAGAAACCUCACACCAUGGAACCUUCACCUAGACCUGAUCUGACUUAUGUCAGCAUUAUGCCAGUGUCAAGGACGAUGACUCUGCCCCACCUCCCCAAGUAUUGAAGGAAAAUAAGUUUUCUGUAUGGGGCUUGUAUUUUUAUAGAUGAGUAUCUGCAUCUGUAGGUAGAAGGACAAGAAAGGAAGCAAAACAAAGACUGAUAUAAAAGAAAAAGGAAUUUUAGUGCUUAAGGCAGCCUUAGUACCUUGAACAAAACACUCUGACAGAUGUGAGAAAACUCCGAGACAAUCCCAGUCAAAUGCUAGAUGACCUCUAUAUAUACUCAAGUUACCUUGGAGUUAAUCAGGAUGAUGACAUAACCCAGACAAAUUAUUUAGGCUCCAUUACAGAUGACAGAGGAAGAUUUGUACUUAGGCACAGCAUUUCAUCUUGCCCAUAUUAGAGCACAGAAAAAUGUGGUCAUAGCAGCAGUGAAGCAGAGGAGGAGGAUACAAUCUUAACAGGAAAGUGAGAUGAUCAGCCACAGGAAGAAUGCACAGAAAAUUGCUGCAUUAUGAUAAUGGUGUUUUAUUGAUUUUACAGCAUCCUGCAAAGGAAUUGUAGCAAGAUUUUUAGGAGAAAGCUUUAUAUGUGUUGCCCCUCCAACAUAAAUUUUAUCAUUACUUUUGAAAGGUAACCUCACAUGAAGUAGCAAACACUGUCUUUGCAUAAUUCUGAGCAUUAUAGGAAUACAAAAUGUGGUGUAAAAUUAAUUUAGGUGUAACGAAAUCACUGAAGAAACUCUCUCUUGUGGUCUAUCAGGACAACUCCAGAGCUGCCAGUUGGCUUAUAGAGGCAAUUUAGCCUGACUGCUUCAGUUUAUCACUAUUAAUGUAUAAAAAGCACUGUUUGUGGUACGGAUUAGUUGUUGUCUCAUCUCACCUCAUGUUCUGAAUAAUAAAUGUUUAUGCAUGUUGCCUUCAAUAUGAUUUGUCAUAUAAAUGCUAUAUAAUUUAGUUAUUAAGAUAAGAUACUAUGUGACAAUAUUUAUGUAGCAGUAUCCUCCCAAUCACUCAACUGCUUCUAAAUGCUAAGGGCCAAUUAGAUGAUUUUUGCCUCUGAGAUCUGGUAAUCAUUUGU